ACACAUGACUACAAGCUGUUGGAAGACAAUAUUACAAAUAUCAAGAUGUUGUUUGGUGUUUUAGUUUUAACUUUUGUGAUUGCUAUGGUACAUGGUGAAAUGACCGAGGAAGCCAAAGCACAACUUUUGAAACUACAUAAUGAACACAGAGCAAAUCUGGGCGCUUCUAAUAUGUUCAAGCUGCGAUGGGACGAUGAAUUACAAAAGGCAGCCGAAGAGUGGAAUAAUGGUUGUGUAUAUGACCAUAAAGGACGGGGAGAAAAUUUAGCAUGGAAUAAACCAGCCGAACCUUUGCCUGUGAAAGAGCUCAUAGAUAUAGCGUUUACUGACUGGUAUAAUGAAAAAAAUCUACAUUCUUAUGGAUCAGGGCAGUGCUCCAGGUUUGGCAGUUGUCAUUACACACAGUUAGCUUGGCAUGACACUACUAAACUGGGAUGUUCUUACAGAACAUGUUCUAAUUUAGCCAAUGCUGAUGCUGGUGCUUGGUGGAUCGUUUGUCUUUACAAGCCAUGGGGAAAUAAUGGUGGAGAAAAAGUAUUUGAAAUGGGGACAGCCUGCUCGCAUCGCGACUGUAAAAGUUUACCGUGUGAAAAUAAAUUGUGUGUUGGAGAAAAAAAAAUAGAAUGUAAGGAUGGCAAUGAUAAUUGUCCAGAAUGGAAGAAAGGUGGUCAGUGUGAGAGUAAUCCAGAUUAUAUGAAAAAAAAUUGUCCCAUGGCAUGUCAAGUCUGCGAGGUGGAGGAAAAUGAAAGUUCUUCUAAGCCCACCAACGACUGUGAAGAUGAAAGUACUGAAUGUAAAAACUGGGCGGAGACUGGACAUUGUGCCAUGAAUCCAAGCUAUAUGUUAAAAAGCUGUAAAAAAUCUUGUAACAGAUGCCAAUAGCUUGCAGUCAUCGAUUUGAUAUCAUAAUGUAUGUCCUUAUUGAAAUCAAAAUCUAAAUUAUUAUUUUAUAAACUGAGAAUUAUGUUUUAAUUAAUUUAUUUUAUACAUACGCAUGUAAAUAUAUUUAUUUGAAAUUAAAUUAUAAUCAAAUAGAAGUAAUUGUAUUUUAAUGAAAUAAAAUAUUAAAGAAAGAAAUUCAAUCUGUUGAAUAUUUGAGAGAAAAUGGGGAUAUUUGAUUACUUAACUGGCUCUGACCAACACAGUUUCCGCAUAACCCAUCUUAUAAUUUAAAAUAUUGCCUACCCUGUUUUAUUUGAGAAUCAACAACUUUACAAUUUAGUAAUAAGCAGUAAUUGUAUUCCAUAGAAUUGUGACCUGCAUAUUCUAUUUCAAUAACUAAAUGCCAUUGAAACAAUUUAAUUAAGAACCCAUUCUUCAAAGACGAGUCACAAAUCACAAAUAUGUUGGUAGUCUGUAACAGUUGUUUGAAUACAUUAUAAACAGCAUUUUCGACCAAAUCCUGUUUGGAGACAACAGUGCGAUUUUCAGACAUAUUUUAAAUUACUAGUAUAGCCCCUGGGAAAAGAAUAUGGAAAUGCUGUCUAUAUAGGCACCGUGCAACUUUCGAUUAAUAAUAUUGUUUUAAACCCACGGGUUUUAUAUGCAGUAUAUUGUCUUCGCCUCACCUGCUAUUGUUCGGCAUAUUGUUGAUAAUAUUCAGUAUUGGGCAUUUUUGCGAACUUAUCCCCCACCGAAUCUUUGUAAAUGCACUUUAACUGUAUAGUAAUUCAGACAAGGAAUAUUCCAGUGUGCUUUCCCCUUGUCAGGGAUGCGGGGCCGGGGUGGGGGCUGGAAAGAUGUGUCUAGUAACUUUUUCAGAUGCCACGCGAAACCGAGGUCCAGAGUAUAAUAUGUUAGGCCUAGUGUACACGUAAAUGAACCCUCGACAGCACACUGAUCAGCAGUGAAUAUUCGCAAGGCCGCUACAAUCACUGAUAAGGAUGACAUCGAUGCGACUUAAUGAGUCACAAAUAUUAACUUUUUUCCUCCGACAAAUUAAAUUCUAAAACAUUUUUUUAUGUAUUAGAAAGAUAAAUAAAGACGUUUGAAGUAUUUGUAGGUAAAAAUCAUUUCCUAUUUAGUGUAAGUGGGUAUUAAAAUGAGUAAAAUGCACCGUUCUGCCCGAACCAGUACACAAUGCACGCGCCAUUGAGCCAAUGAUUGACGUCGCGUGAUGUGACGUCACGCGUUGAAGGCAGUCAUGUUUACAGAGAUAUUAGAAGACAUUCGUAAUUCUCUGUGAAACAGGUUGCCUUGACAGUUGUAGCCCGAAAUAUGAGUAGCCGGGAAAAAUCCCUCCACCCCCCUCCACUUAAACGUAGCAUGCUAAACUCCAUGUCAAUAAAACAUGACUGACAUCAAGCUGAUUGAAUUUCGGGCCUAAUUUAAGAGAAACGCCGGAUUUUCUGAAACAGUUUAAUCUUUUUAAAAUUUCUCAGGAUUAUGAAAAUAACAUCUAAGCAAGGCGUAUGUAAUGCUAUUCAACAACACAUCAGUCUGAUCCUAUUUCGGUUCGUUUUUUAUAGUUCAAAAUUUCGUUUUACUAGUCUUUACUACACUAGGAUCUGGAAGAGUUGUUAUAUUGCCGGCGUUUUGGUUGAUGUGAGGGAUAAGCCAAUGAAACAGUCUGUUACGGCGACUUCUUGGCGUGCCAUGCACGGAACUGUGGGUAAACCACUAGAAACACCAACGCUGAUUGAUUAAUCAAUGUCUGACGUCAUUGGGUCGAAGGCCACUCGUACGACCCCUAACACGGCCUUUGAGUACAACUUGUCAGAUCUUCAUGUAGUAUAGGCCAUCGAAAGUAUAAAAAAAACGAAACGAAAUAUAGAUCUGCAUUUUAAUCAGAUUGACAACACACAACCAUCUUUAUAUUCCAUUCAAUAUAUGGUAUUGGCUUUUUUUCAGCUGGAAACGGUGGAAGCACUUCUACUUAUAACUGUCGAGAUGAAAACUACUCCUGUGGAAUGUGGCAGAGAUGGGGAGAAUGUUAUAGAAAUCCAGGAUACAUGUUGAUCAAAUGCAAAAAAUCAUGUGGUAGAUGUCACUAGAUAUCAGCCAGUUUAUUUUAGAGAUGGUAGUGUGAUGUGCUAUUACCAAAUAUAUCCUAAUUGGAUUUUUAAUUUACCUCAGAUAUAUAUAUAUACCUCAAAUUAAAUUUUGUCCACACAUUAAGUGUAUUGAGUAACAUCUAAAAAUUAUAUUUUUAACAAAUUAUUUUUUUCCAUAAUUAUAAUAGUGCAUUAUUAAUUUA